UACGUAGGGUGCGAGCGUUGUCCGGAAUUAUUGGGCGUAAAGAGCUCGUAGGCGGUCUGUCGCGUCGGUCGUGAAAACCUGCAGCUUAACUGUGGGCUUGCGGUCGAUACGGGCAUGACUGGAGUUCGGCAGGGGAGACUGGAAUUCCUGGUGUAGCGGUGAAAUGCGCAGAUAUCAGGAGGAACACCGGUGGCGAAGGCGGGUCUCUGGGCCGAUACUGACGCUGAGGAGCGAAAGCGUGGGGAGCAAACAGG
rnacentral:rRNA from 1 species